rnacentral:rRNA from 1 species
CCUACGGGCGGCAGCAGUAGGGAAUCUUUCACAAUGGGCGAAAGCCUGAUGGAGCAACGCCGCGUGCAGGAUGAAGGCCUUCGGGUUGGAAACUGCUUUUAUAAGCGAGAAAUAUGAUGGUAACUUAUGAAUAAGGAUCGUCUAACUACGUGCCAGCAGCCGCGGUCAUACGUAGGAUACGAGCAUUAUCCGGAGAUACUGGGUGUAAAGAGUUGCGUAUGUGGCAUAGUAAGUAGCUAGUGGAAUCUGGUGGCUCAACCAUUCAGACUACUAGCUAAACUGCUAAGCUCGAGAACAUUGGGGGUAACUGGAAUUUCUAGUGUAGGAGUGAAAUCCGUAGAUAUUAGAAGGAACACCGAUAGCGUAGGCAGGUUACUGGGACGGUUCUGACACUAAGGCACGAAAGCGUAGGGAGCAAACGGGAUUAGAUACCCUAGUAGUC